rnacentral:rRNA from 1 species
UACGGGGGGGGCAAGCGUUGUUCGGAAUUACUGGGCGUAAAGGGUUCGUAGGUGGCCACUUAAGUCAGACGUGAAAUCCCUCAGCUUAACUGGGGAACUGCGUCUGAUACUGAGUGGCUUGAGUGCAGGAGAGGAAUGCGGAAUUCCAGGUGUAGCGGUGAAAUGCGUAGAUAUCUGGAGGAACACCGGUGGCGAAGGCGGCAUUCUGGACUGUAACUGACACUGAGGAGCGAAAGCGAGGGGAGCAAACGGG